GAAAAUAAAAUCACUGCACGCCAAAAACAAAAAAAAUAGCGGCGGCGCAGGCCGCACAGCCUCUCCGCAAUCGACGCCCACUUUCCUCCGUAGUCUUCCUCCCACAAAAACUGCGCCACAUCUUCAUCCUCCUCCUCGUAACCUCCUCCAAUCGUGCCGGCGGCGCAGCAAGGUAGAUCAUCUGAGCCUAUUCAUCGCAACCUCAAGAUCCCCCGGGGAAGAAGGGGCCAUGAGUCCCACGGCGUCGUGCAGAAGAUAUAGAACCUACUCCUACAGGCUAUUAGAAGCUGAAGGCAAUUACAAUCAUCAAGAACAAUCAAAUGAUGCAACGGCUAGGACUUUCUCAAUUACGAUCAAUGAUGGCCAGUAUUCCAAGUGGAAGGAUGAACGAUGAUGCUCCUCAGGAAUUUGGAUCGUUGUAUGGUGGUGAUGAUAUUGAGGGAUCUGUGGAUGAGAUGAUCAGUAAGGGAAAUGAAGACCAGAGGCACCUACCCAAGCUGUCAAAUUUGCAUCAGAAGGUGGGAUUGUACUUAGGCAGCACAUGCCGAUAGUUCCACACAGGACGGAGUACAAGAAGGAAGAGAACACCGGUAAAAUAGAAAACUACACUGGAAAGAUUGUUCAGUAAGAGCAGCAUGCAUUGAUAUGCUAAAGGGUGGGCAACGCUAGAUGAGGUAUAAGCUAAAAAAGAAAUACUUCAAUGGGGUUCCAGCGAAUCAAGUGAGGACUACAUCGCCUAUUUCGUUCAUGAUCGACGACCAAUGGAAACUUCUAAUGGAAAUGUGGUCUACCUCAAAGCACAAGGACACAUGUAUGAAGAACAAAGUUAGUUGUGAACAAGUAAAGUUUCCACAGGGCACAGGCUCUCAAUCCUACAUUGCAAAGGCAUAUUCAAUGGUUGAUAUGGAAUCAAUGGCGGCAGCACCAGUUGAAGAUGGACACCACGUAAAGUCUUCAAUAGAAGUAGUUUCCCAAGUGCUACCUAAAUCAAGUUUAUUCCUUCAGAAUGUAGGCCUAGCCCCCACCAACAAAAGCUCUUAAAUGACUGUUUCAGCAAAGGUGCAGCAACUUGAGUCUCAAUUACAAAUUGAGAGGCAAGAAAAAGAUGGACUACGAGAUGAAGUCCAAAGCUUGAAGGCUAAGACACAGGCAUCUGAUGAGACCAUUGCUAAGUGAAGAAGUCCAUAGCAGAAAAUAGUAGCCUCCUUCGUCAGAUUUUAAGCAUAAAUUGUAGCCAAGUGCCUCCUUAAAUAUGCCUACCAACUUGAUGGUGUCAAGAUACAUCACAUACCAGAUGGAGGAUUAAAGUUAUAUGAGCCUAAGCUACAUGAUUAUUAGGAUUUAUGUUAUUGGAGUCCAAAUUUGUUUUUUGUUGAAAUACUUGUGCUAGAUUUUUUUGG
rnacentral:misc_RNA from 1 species